AACGAACGCUGGCGGCAUGCCUAACACAUGCAAGUCGAACGAGACCUUCGGGUCUAGUGGCGCACGGGUGCGUAACGCGUGGGAACCUGCCCUUAGGUUCGGAAUAACUCCCCGAAAGGGGUGCUAAUACCGGAUAAUGUCUUCGGACCAAAGAUUUAUCGCCUUUGGAUGGGCCCGCGUUGGAUUAGUUAGUUGGUAGGGUAAAAGCCUACCAAGGCGACGAUCCAUAGCUGGUCUGAGAGGAUGAUCAGCCACACUGGGACUGAGACACGGCCCAGACUCCUACGGGAGGCAGCAGUAGGGAAUAUUGGACAAUGGGCGAAAGCCUGAUCCAGCAAUGCCGCGUGAGUGAUGAAGGCCUUAGGGUUGUAAAGCUCUUUUACCCGGGAUGAUAAUGACAGUACCGGGAGAAUAAGCUCCGGCUAACUCCGUG
rnacentral:rRNA from 1 species